UACAGAGGUCCCAAGCGUUGUUCGGAUUUACUGGGCGUAAAGGGUGCGUAGGUGGUAGGGUAAGUUCAAUGUGAAAGCUUCGGGCUCAACCCGAAAAUUGCAUCGAAUACUAUCCUGCUGGAGGAUCGGAUGGGAGACUGGAAUUCUCGGUGUAGCAGUGAAAUGCGUAGAUAUCGAGAGGAACACCUGUGGCGAAGGCGAGUCUCUGGACGAUUCCUGACACUGAGGCACGAAAGCUAGGGGAGCAAACGGG
rnacentral:rRNA from 1 species